UGGAACCAAAUUUUCCUUUCUCUUACCCAAGUCCUCCCUUGUGUUUUAUGUCAUGCAGUUUUCUUACUGCUGUUUUCUCUUUAAUAAUCUUCGGCAAUGCUACUUCAUAUUUCUGAUGAGCAUCUGUGGUUACACCACACAUUCAACACUGCUAGGACCCACACACUGACCAAGACUCCACUUGGGGGUUUAACAAUGGUAUGCAGAGAUGCUACAAGCAAGAGUUUCUCAGAUCCUUCAUGCCAUGAGCAACCUCUCAUAUGCACAGGAAGGAGGUCAAGCUGAGGCAUAUAAUCUUCCUGCCAUACAAUAUUCCAGCCACUUUAGCGUUUCAUCUCCUCAGAAAGAAGCAAUGUUUCAGAGGUGUUACCAUGGAAACAAUGGAGUGAGGAAGCAGCUAAACAUAAAAGGAUCCACAAGGAGAUGGAAGUGUUAAUGGCGGAGCUUCUUGCUCAGAGACUCGUCAGUAUAUUUUCUGUUCAGGUAAACAUUGGCCACCGCACAUUAGGAAAAUUUUGGGGUGAAGGAGGGCAGAGCAGAUCCUACAAGCCUGAAACACUGAUUUGACCAUGCAGUACUGAGAGCGCCUUUCGCCUGGAGGGUCGCACAGAUGGUAAAUGAGAUCUCCACAUAGCCCAGAACUUCAGUCAGCCAGGAGUGGAUCAUGAGGGAACAGGUCUACUGAGGCUUGGAGCACUGGCAAGACCCUGCUUCCAGCAAAUCCCGAGGAACAGAUCCUACCCAUACCCAGCUGGCUUGGAGGCACAUGGAAGCAAACAGCCAGGCCAAUUCACAACUGGCUGGCAGAGCACCAUGGCAUCAGACAGGUUGUAAUGAUCAUCGUAAAAUAUAUUCGCAACACAGCUUUUCAGAAGAAUAAAUUAUACAAUGUUUUCUAUGCACACACAUCUUCAAUAAUAGCAUAAAAAUACAGCUAAACAAAUGUU